UUUUUUUUUUUUUUCCUUUUUCUUUUUCUAUUUCUGUCCCUCUUGUUUACUUAGAUUGGGAUGUAUAUGUGUUUGAGAACUAUCUUUGCUUCUUCAGAAUAAUAUGGGCCUAGGCAAGGAACCAACUGCAUUCUGGCACCUUUACUCUCUGAGAUCUCAUGUGAUUUUAGGAUAAGGGCAUUAGUGGGGAAGUACAUUCUGGAAUAAGAAUCCUUCAAAUUCUUGCAGAGGAAGUAGGCAGCGUACGCAGGAUAAGUGCACAUAUAAUAAACCAAUAUUUGGAGGAACAUUGGUGUCUGAGUCAGAAGAUCUGGUUGAAAUCCCAGUACAAUUACUGUGGAAUGUUGUACGAGUCAGGUCGUCUCUCGAGCUUCAGUAUUCUCAUCUGUGAGGUGCAGAGUAGAGACAAGGGUUUUAGAGGAAAAGAGUAAACUGAAGUGCUUUCCCCCUUGAAGACAACGCUGUUAAUCCAGUGCUGGGCCAGGUAUGGCAGGAAUAGAUUGUUCAGUGUUACGAUGGAGCAGCAGCCUGAGCAGGUUGGGGGCUCAUCAGCAUUGAGACCCUACUGGUACAAUUUAUCAGGUAAAUGGCCCUACUGGAGAGAGUGCUUGGAUUAUCAGAAGGAAAUAAAUCCUGAAGUCCUCAACCUACUUAUGUUCCCCUGCCAUUAAAUCUGGAGAAAAUAAAUGUCCUGUGCAGGAAGGUUUACUGAUUCCUAAGGACAGCUACUGGCUUUAACAAUCCCCCGGUACCUGUUUGUUGGGUCUGCCCAUUCAGGGCUGUAGAAGAGGUCAGGGUCAGCCUAUGGAGGACACUGAGAAAUAAGGCUGACUCUUGGUCCAGGACAGGUGCAGGCUGCCUCACCAGCCAUAGCCAGCAGGAGGAAAGGCUGGGCCCGAGUCGACACAAUUUCAGUGGUGACAAUAGCUACUAUGUGACCUGUGCAGAAGGGCCCUGCCCUCAGUUUAAUGUACUGCUCCUGUUGUGUUGGAAUCUGUAAUGAUUUUUGAACAAGGGGCUGCGAUUUUCCUCUUGUAUUGGGCCGUGCAGAUGAUGUGGCCAGUUCUAUAGAUAAGACAAGAGGAAUAAGCACCUACAUUCUCCAGUAUAUUCUAAUCUUGUCAGUGAGUCAAGCACCAUAUAGGAAGAAUUUGGGUUGAGGAAGAAAAAGACAGGGAAAGAGGAAGAUGAAGAUGAGGAAAUUGACUAUUGAACUCAUAUGUUACUUCUUCCAUAAGACUGCCCAAGACUGCCUAUUUAAAAUUGUAAUCUGCUCCCCACAACCUCUCUCCUGAUCCACAUUUCUCAGCACUCGUUAGAAAAAUUUUCAAUAGUAUUUACUACCUGCUUUACUUGUUUAGUGUGUUUAUUACUUUAUUGUCUGUCUUGUCCUCCCAGAACCUGAGUUCCAAGAGGACAGGAAACUUGAGCUGUUUUAGUCAAUAUUAUAUGCAAAUUACCUAAUGAUUCCUGGCAUGCUGAGGGCCCUCAGUGGAUUUUCCAUAAAUGAAAGCAUGGAUCACACACCUAACAUGUGCUAAGACCCGCACUAGGCCAGUUACAUGGUUUAUCUCAUCUAAUCCUAACGGGAUCUGGUCACUUGUUUAUUAUGUAUAGGAGCUGAGUUGGGCUCAUAUAAAUAGGUUAGGGGAUCCACCCUCAAUUUCUAAUUUAUAUAUUAGCAAUUUAGAGGUACUUCUUUGUAAUGAAGAACCUGAGGCUCAGAGAGAUUGAAUCAUUUGCCAAAUGCUAAUUUAGAGGAAAACCAUCCUCUUCCAGAAGUAGAUUAGAGUCCAAAGGAGAAUAAAAGCAGAGAGGGUGAGGAGGAGGAAGCGGGGAGUGAAAUGGGGGAGACAGGAAACAGAGGGUUUGGCAUGUUGGAGAAACCAUACUGAGAGGCUUGCUUUGGGAAAAGGAAGCUCAGGAAAUGGAGGUGAACAGGAAAGUUUCCAGAAAUCAUCUUAAGAGUUCAGGAAAUGUGAGCAUCCGUGAGAUGCAGCCCUUAUAUCUGGAAGUAAUGACUUCCCACUGAACUUUACCCAGUCUCUGGAUGAUCCAGGACAUAUGUCUACUUGACUUCUCUGAGCCAGGAAGCUGUGUUUAAAUCAAGAGUCCUAAGCUUGGACUCAGGAGCCUCAAAGUCCUGUCCUUGCCACUCUAAGUAUGGUCUUGGGCACCUGCCCAAUGCCACCUUACUGCUCUGAACCUCACCAUAAAUGGGGUACACAUUUACAAGUACCACACUGUGGUACUGCUUGCAAAACACACAAUCAUAAAAGCAGCCUUGGAGGAUACAGCUGGAGAAAUCAUCUAACUCAGAGUCAAAACUUCUCCCCCCACCAACUCAACAUGAGCUGUGUAGCCUUAGGCAAACCUCUCAACCUCUCUGAGCCUCAAUUUCUUUGCCUGCAAACCACAAAGCCUUCAGUAAAGACACCAGAUAGCUAAUACGGGGAGAAACAUGGCUGGAAUGUGGAUUGAAUUUCUUUUUUUUUUUUUUAUAAAUUUUUAUUUAUUUAUGAUAGUCACACAGAGAGAGAGAGAGAGAGAGACAGGCAGAGACACAGGCAGAGGGAGAAGCAGGCUCCAUGCACCCGGAGCCUGACGUGGGAUUCGAUCCCGGGUCUCCAGGAUCACGCCCUGGGCCAAAGGCAGGCACCAAACCGCUGCGCCACCCAGGGAUCCCCUUUCUAACCCUACCCCAUUAGAACAAAGUUUUAGCCAACUCCGCAAAUUUCACUCACAAUCUGCGCCUGGACCUGCAGAGGCUCAAAUCUUACAACCAAAGCAUAUAAUCAGUUCUCCACUCUUUCAUAAAAUCUUUUGCCUGUGAAAGUCACAAAAUGUGCCUGAUCUUCAGUCCCACCUUUGCUUAACUCUUGCUGAUUCUUUCUGCCCAGGGAGUGCAUCAGAUCAUGGAGGCAGAGUAGAAUGUUAGAGGUCCACAGGAGAUCUAGUAUGCUUUUCCAAUUCAAUUGCAAGAGGCAGUCCAGUUCUCUGUAUAUGAAAAGUAGGCAAGUUAUUGCAAAUGUCUAGUCAAUUCCAAAUGUCACCAGCUACCAGUAAACAACAAAACGCCGGCUACAUUCAGGACUGGAUCAUUUAAAACAUAAUUAUAAUAAAUGAUUUAAAGGAGCUCUUUUAAUUACCACUACGUAUCAAAGGCUCAGGAAGGCAUUCCAGAAGAAUUGUUUUCUAUUGUAACUGCAUAAAUUUAAAUGCCAUUAAUUUCAUAUCUGUCAUUCACUUCUCUUCUACUACAUUGAUCUCUGUACCAGGGAACUCAAUGCCUCCCAUUUCAUUUGGGGAUUUCAUGGUUUCUACAGAGGAAGAGCUUUUUUUUUAGUAUUUCAGUUUCCAAGUGCCAUUUCCAUUCCAAAGUAUAAGUCUAUAGACCACAUGAAAGCUAAAAAAACAAAAAAAAAAAAAAAAAAAAAAAAAAAAAAAAA
rnacentral:lncRNA from 1 species